GACAAAUUUAAUCAUAAGAAACAGCAGAUUAUCAACUGAUUGAAACGUCAUUGGUAGCUUUAGUGAAUGGAACAGAGAAAACAUGGUUCCUAUUGUUAACAAGUAUUUUUCUGGGUAUUCUUCGUUACAAAUAUUGAUGUUAAAAAUACUAAUCAAGUCGGGAAAGACUGUGGAGGCACUAACUACGUUCCCAAGAGCAACCGAAGGCAUGGACGAACCAGCGGAUGGAAGAAACUGUUAAGGGAGGGUCUUCCGUGAACAUUCUAAGAACAACAUUCAUACGGCACCUCAAAAAUUCCAAUUUUUCGUCACAGCUAGAACCACUUCCGGUUCCAGUCAGCAGCAGGAACAAGAAUAUUUAAAAGGAAGUGACAGAAUCGUUGUAU